CCUCCCAGUAGUAGAGAGUCUGGCCUGGGACAAGAAUGGAAAAACUGCUUCUGCUAACAUGGGCAACCUGUUUCCUUGUGGUGAAUGGUGCAGAGUUACCCAAACAAUUGCAGAUGCUUCCCAUGUUAGGGGAUGUCUAUCAUGUUACAGGGAUACUUAAACUGCCUUAUGCUGAAAUAGAAGAGCCAUUUGAAGCCUGGUUCAACAAGACUGGAGGGAAAAGUCGGAUUCAGUAUUAU